rnacentral:rRNA from 1 species
AUUGAACGCUGGCGGCAGGCCUAACACAUGCAAGUCGAACGAGUGGCGGACGGGUGAGUAAUGUAUGGGAAACUGCCCGAUGGAGGGGGAUAACUACUGGAAACGGUAGCUAAUACCGCAUACUAUCAGAUGUGCCCAUAUGGGAUUAGCUAGUGGGUGGGGUAAAGGCUCACCAAGGCGACGAUCCCUAGCUGGUCUGAGAGGAUGACCAGCCACACUGGAACUGAGACACGGUCCAGACUCCUACGGGAGGCAGCAGUGGGGAAUAUUGCGAAAUGGGGGCAACCCUGAGACAGCCAUGCCGCGUGAAUGAAGAAGGCCUUCGGGUUGUAAAGUACUUUCAGCGGCGAGGCGUUACCCGCAGAAGAAGCACCGGCUAACUCCGUGCCAGCAGCCGCGGUAAUUC